UUCUGCUGGAGAGAGGCCGCCGCCCACACUGGCGGCCCACCGAAGGGGCAAGACCGGCGCGCCGGAUCGAAUCUCUCAGGUAAAGAGGACAGCAGGGU
rnacentral:ncRNA from 2 species